rnacentral:rRNA from 1 species
AACCUGCGGAAGGAUCAUUACU